ensembl:snoRNA SNORA70 Small nucleolar RNA SNORA70
UUGCAGCCAGUUAAGCCAACUGUGCUCUUUUCCCCAUGAGGGCCCAGUGUGCAGUAGCUGCAGACAGCUACUGGAAUAUUUAAUUCCUAUAUUUCAAUCUUGGAGAGUUAGAUAAAAUAUUUAUCAUAUGCCUGCCUCAUAGCUUAGUCCUUGGUAGUGUAUGCAGCCUGUUGCCUGUACAGGUAGCCAUAAGGGACCUUGGAGACAACU